rnacentral:rRNA from 1 species
GCCAGUAGCAUACCACCCUGCAUCCCACUGCUGGCUUGCCUCUGAAGCUAAGCAGAGUUGGUCCUGGUCAGUCACUAGAUGGGAGACCAGAUGCUGCUGGAA